AUGGAUAAUCCAUUCCUUGGCUUGAAUAUAGCGCUGGUGAUUUUUGAAUCGGGUAAUAACUUUACUUUUCUCUCUUCCUCUUCCUCCCAUCUCCCCCAUUUCUUCCUCCCAUGUCCCCCAUUUCUUCCUCCCAUCUCCCCCAUUUCUUUCUUCCUCCCAUCUCCCCCAUUUCUUUCUUCCUCCCAUCUCCCCCAUUUCUUUCUUCCUCCCAUCUCCCCCAUUUCUUUCUUCCUCCCAUCUCCCCCGUUUCUCCCCUGUUUCUCUCCCCUCUCCUCCCCUGUUUCUCCCCCCCUCCCUUCCCUCUCCCUUCUCCUCCCCUGUUUCUCCCCCCCUCCCUUCCCUCUCCUCUCUGUUUCUCCCUCUCCCCUGUUUCCCCCCCUCCCCCUCUCCCCUCUCCUCCCCUGUUUCCCCCCCUCCCCUCUCCUCUUUGUUUCUCCCUCUCCCCUGUUUCCCCCCCUCCCCUCUCCUCUUUGUUUCUCCCUCUCCCCUGUUUCUCCUCCCCUCUCCUCCCCUGUUUCUCCCCCCCUCCCUUCCCUCUCCCCUGUUUUUCCUCCCCUCCCCUCUCCUCUCUGUUUCUUCCUCUCCCCUGUUUCUCCCCCCUCCCUUCCCUCUCCCCUCUUUCUCCUCCCCUCUCCUCUCUGUUUCUCCCUCUCCCCUGUUCCCCCCCCCUCCCCUCUCCUCUCUGUUUCUCCCUCUCCCCUGUUUCCCCCCCCCUCCCCUCUCCUCUCUGUUUCCCCCCCCCCCUCCCCUCUCCUCUCUGUUUCUCCCUCUCCCCUGUUUCCCCCCCCUCCCCUCUCCUCUCUGUUUCUCCCUCUCCCCUGUUUCUCCCCCCUCCCCCUCUCCCCUCUCCUUCCCUGUUUCUCCCUCUCCCCUGUUUCUCCCUCCACUCUUCUCUUCACAGUUGAAGAAGGCCAAACCCUCCAAGGAGCCCAAGAAGGAGAAGACGACAGCCGGGGAUUCUGGGAAGGGAAAGGGCAAAGGCAAAGGCAAGGGCAAAGCCAGGAAGUGACCCCUAACCUCUCAGACAACAAAAAAGCGAACUGUACAACACCUCUUCUCUGA
rnacentral:lncRNA from 1 species